ensembl:lncRNA
AACAUAACGAAAGGGUAGUGAAUUUGCCCACAGUGUAUUGUUAAGUUUUUGAAAAUUUUCAAAGCAUUUUCCCAAAAUAUGUGUCAAAAUAAAAUUUGUCACCAAAAAUCAUUCCAUUAGCUGAAACAGAGAAAGUUGUGGCCAAAAUAAGACUCAACUUUACCCCCUAGUGGACGAAAACGUCCCCAACAACACAUAAGGGUUAAAUUGAUUAUUUGAUUAACAAUUUAAUUAGAUUUAAGUUAUUUAUUUACGACAUCUUUAUGUUUAGCCUAUGUAAAUUCUGCGUGUUUUAACGAGCGCGCGCUGAACAUUGGAGUAGCGUUCAUUCAGAUACAAACACCGGAGCGGAGGGAGUUGCCAUGGAAACGGGGCGACCGACAACACUGGCAAGCUGCAAGCUCCGUUUCUUGCUGCUGUUUUCACUGCUUUCGAAAUGGUGUAGUGUUUUCGAAGUCCGUAAGCAUCUUAACCGUUAUCAGAGGAGAUUCUUCCGUGUUUGAUGUUCUUCUGCAUCCCAGAGUCUGAGCAAGCCUCCUGUCCAACAACAUCUCCAAGACACACUGAACCAUACGACUAGCAGGGAAAAACACAUCGUGGACCAAAGAGGAAACUGACAACACACAGACAGACAAGACAGAGAAGGUUGCUUCUGGAAGGAUCUUAUCAGCAAAUCUACUUCACAGCACAUCAGUGAAAGCAGUUGACAGUUACGGAUGGGUGUGUUGGAUCAGGGUCAGAUCUGAAUUCUGAUGGUUUUCUGGGAUGACAGUUGAAGAUGAUCAGAACAUCAGAUGUUGGUCUGGACAGCUGUACCUACAGUACACCACACUGACCUCUCUGCUUUUGCAUGGAUAACUGACUUACUACCAUGUUCUGUGAAGGUAUUAUUAUAGCAAACCUGAGCACCUGUGACAGUGGAAUAGUUGUAAUGAAUAGUCACACAUGCAUAUUGGUAAAUUUAAAGUUACAGAUAAUUUUUUUUAGUACUAGCAAUAUUUUUAUUUUUAUUUUUUAUUUUUUAUUAAUUCUCUCCAGCAAACACAACACAACAGUUACACCAUUUCGAAUUCUGAGGUGCACAAAUCCUAUUCUACAAAUAAGAGAACAACAGUAUAAAAGUGCUCAGUUUAGCCUCUUUCACACUGAGAUUCCGGAUAAAACACGGGUAAUGUGUCCCGGCAAUUGUUCCCGGAUUGUUAGAUUUUGGUUCAUUCACACUGCCAGUGAUAGCGUUCACACACAACCCAUAAAGGUCCCGUAAUGACACGAGACAUCAGGAUGUGAUGUGUAAUGUAUGAGUUAAAAAUGCUAGGCCGCCAAUAAACGGAAGAAGGAGAAGAAGCAAAGCAGAAGUGUUUUCAAUGCUUUAUAAACAUGGCAGCUGAUCAGCUACUAGGGACAUUGUUGUUUAUGUAUAAAGCAUCUUCCACACAGAAAUUCCGGAAAAUACACGGAUAAUGUGUUCCAGGAUCCUUUGAUUGUGGUUCAUUUACACUGGCAGUGAUUUUCUGGAAUCUGUGUGUCACACACAACCCAUAAAGAUCCCGUAAAGACACAUGACAUUACGAUGCGACGUGUUUUGUUUCACUUAAGCUGGCGAACGAUCUCAGCUUUAGCACGGAUAGUGAGGAACUAACUGAUCUCUGCUUCAUUACAGUUUGCACAUAUUUUUUCGUCACGAAUGUUGAUCUGCCGUCAAAACACCCGGUAAAAGAGUCGCAUGAUAACGUGCGUCAUCACUACGACACACCCUUUACGCCAUUGGUUCUGGCUUUUGUUCACACAGAGCUCGUUCCGGGACUGAACCCAGCAAUGUUCCUAGGUCCCCAAACCAGGAUCAGUCCCGGAAUCAAUCCCGGGACGUGUUUGCGUUCACACAGAAGGCACUUUGGCAAUUUUCCAGCAAUUUUUUGGGACCACCGUGCAGUGUGAAAGGGGCUUUAGUCUAGCACAGUACACA